rnacentral:rRNA from 1 species
GAGUUUGAUCCUGGCUCAGAAUGAACGCUGGCCGGCCGUGCUUAACAGAUGCAAGUCGUACAAGAACUGUUCUGCUUGCAAAAGAUAGUAAAGUGGCGCACGGGUGAGUAACGCGUGGGUAAUCUACCUCUAAAUCGGGGAUAACAUUGCGAAAGCGAUGCUAAUACCGGAUAAUAUCUCUUAAACUUCGGAAUUAUUGGGCGUAAAGGGCGCGUAGGCGGUCUCUUAAGUCAGAUGUGAAAGCCCGGGGCUUAACUCCGGAAGUGCAUUUGAAACUAAGGGACUUGAGUAUGGGAGAGGGAAGUGGAAUUCCUGGUGUAGCGGUGAAAUGCGUAGAUAUCAGGAGGAACACCGGUGGCGAAGGCGACUUCCUGGACCCAUACUGACGCUAAGGCGCGAAGGCGUGGGGAGCAAACAGGAUUAGAUACCCUGGUAGUC